UUCUUUCACCUGUUUGCCUCAGAAACUA
rnacentral:piRNA from 1 species